AUGAGAUCCAGCGCCUCCCGAGGUCCUUAUCCACCACAGCUCGCGAGGAAGCCGCGGGAGAAGGAGAUCAACCGGGAAUUCACCGGCUGGAGAAGGAGGAAAGGCGUAGAUGCCAGCCAGGGAGGCAGAUCGGCUCGCCUCCGCUGCGCCGUGAGCGCCGCCGCCACCUCUGCAUCCACCUUGCUCCGCGUAGCAGCAUGUGUGCGGAAGCAUGGACAGGCGACCACGAGCAUAUGUCGUCGGCGGCAACGGCAAAACGCACGGUGUGAUGGGCGCGGCCUACCCGCAUGCAUUCAAGGAUGGCGUGCCCGAUGGCUCGGAACGCGUGCGCCCGGUGCAUAG
rnacentral:rRNA from 1 species